GACCAAUCAGCGCCCUGUCAAAACAGGCCACUUGGCCCUACCAAUCAGCAGGAUGUGGGUGGGGCCAGAUAAGAGAAUAAAAGCAGGCUGCCGGAGCCAGCAGUGGCAACUCGCUCAGGUCCCCUUCCACACUGUGGAAGCUUUGUUCUUUUGCUCUUUGCAAUAAAUCUUGCUACCGCUCACUCUUUGGGUUCACGCUGCUUUUAUGAGCUGUAACACGCACCACGAAGAUCUGCAGCUUCACUCCUGAGCCCAGCGAGACCACGAGCCCACGGGAAGGAAUGAACAACUCCAGACGCGCUGCCUUAAGAGCUGUAACACUCACCCCGAAGGUCUGCAGCUUCACUCCUGAGCCCAGCGAGACCACGAGGCCACUGGGAGGAACGAACAACUCCAGACGUGCUGCCUUAAGAGCUGUAACACUCACCGCGAAGGUCUGCAGCUUCACUACUGAGCCAGCGAGACCACGAACCCACCAGAAGAAAGAAACUCCAAACACAUCUGAACAUCAGAAGGAACAAACUCCAGAUGCGCCACCUUAGGAGCUGUAACACUCACCGCGAGGGUCCGCGGCUUCAUUCUUGAAGUCAGUGAGACCAGGAACCCACCAAUUCCGGACAGAAUACCAUAGAGGGUCCCUGAAACAUCCAUAAAAAGAGACUGAGGACAAUCAACCCCUUCACAAUCUAGAAUGCAAACAUUGGAUCUUCUGAGAAUAUCAGAGAAAGACAGACCUUGCCAUCCACACUGAAACAAAACUUCAGGAUCUUGAACAUUGGGUUCAGAAUUUCACAACUGAGUAGGGUCCCUCCACACUCUUGGAACUGUACACCCAUUGGAACACUUAAGGACAUGAAGGAUGAGCUGCAAGGAGGCUGCUCAAGAUCACACAGCUCGGGAAAAGGAAAAAGUAGAGCUUAAAUUUCCAUCGCUGCCCUUCUGAAGGAAAGAACUGCUCUAGCCAUGCACCUGGCUGGGAUCGCCAAUUUCCCUUGUUACCUUGGAUUUCCUCUGGCCCCAGGGCUCAGGAGGCUUGUCCAUGCCUGUCCUAUGGACUUGUCUUAUCCCAGGUUCCUUAGAAAUAGGAUAAUGGGUCUGCUGUGGUUUGAAUGCAUUUCUGCCAAAAUUCAGGUGUUGAAACUUCAUGGCCCGUGUGAUCAAAUUAAAAGGCAAGGCCUUUAGGAGGUGAUGACAAGGCUGUGAGGGCUCCUCCCUUGUGAAUGGAAGAGGCACCAUCACAGUAUCCGGCUUGCCUGCCCUUCUGCCUUCCCUGAGGAUGCAGGGCUCCUUCUCUCCAGAGGAUGCAGCAAGAAGGCACUGCAAAGGGAAAUAAAAAUCUCGGGUCACAUAUGCACCACGGAAUACUAUGCAGCCAUAAAAAAGAAUGAGUUCAUGUCCUUUGCAGGACAUGGGUGAAGCUGGAAACCAUCAUCCUCAACAAACUAACGCAGGAACAGAAAACCAAACACUGCAAGUUCUCACUCAUAAGUGGGAGUUGAACAAUGAGAACAUGUGGACACAGGAAGGGGAACAUCACACACCAGGGCCUGUCGGGAGGUGGGGGGGAAGGGGAGGGAGAGCAUUAGGACAAAUACCUAACGUAUGCAGGGCUUAAAACCUAGAUGAUGGGUUGAUAGGUGCAGCAAAUCAACAUGGCACAUGUAUAUUUAUGUAACAAACCUGCAUGUUCAGCACAUGUAUCCAAGAACUUAAAGUAAAAUUGAAUAUAUAUAUAUAAAAAACCUCAUGCAAAAGUGAAGAUUAAGCCCUAAAGUUCAGUCAUUGCCACACAGUCAUUCAAGUAAGCAGCUGUUACCAGCAGUAUGCACCCUCCAGAUACCCCAUGGAAAGGCAAAAGGCCUCAGACAUCUGGAAAGUCUGGCCCCACAGACCACUCAUGAGUAACUUCUUUGCUGGCCUCCCAUAAGCAAGGUCAUGCCAAUUGUAACUUUAGGUCUUCAAUCCAAAUCUAGUUCCUAAAGCUCCACACUGAUAAUGUCAAUUACUAGCUUAUCUCCCCAGGUGCAGAACAAAGGCAAGAUGAGAUUAAUCAUUCCUUCACCCCUCCCUGAGUUGGCUACAUAAUUGUUUUAUUUCUGUAUUCCUUUUUUCUUCAAAGGUUCACCUUAUCUUAUGUAAAAUGUAGAUUUAGUGAGAAGUAAAGUCUCACAAGUAUGUAACCAUUCUCCUCACUGCCUCCCCUCCUUUUUAAGAAAAAAUGUAUAAAUACUAAGCCUGCUGAGAA